CAGCCGCCACGGGAAUACGUAGGGUGCGAGCGUUAAUCGGAAUUACUGGGCGUAAAGCGGGCGCAGACGGUUACUUAAGCAGGAUGUGAAAUCCCCGGGCUCAACCUGGGAAUUGCGUUCUGAACUGGGUGGCUAGAGUGUGUCAGAGGGGGGUAGGAUUCCACGUGUAGCAGUGAAGUGCGUAGAGAUGUGGAGGAAUACCGAUGGCGAAGGCAGCCCCCUGGGAUAGCACUGACGCUGAGGCGCGAAAGCGUGGGGAGCAAACCGGAUUAGAUACCCCGGUAGUCCCUGUCUCUUAUAU
rnacentral:rRNA from 1 species